rnacentral:rRNA from 2 species
UUAAGCGACUAAGCGUACACGGUGGAUGCCCUGGCAGUCAGAGGCGAUGAAGGACGUGCUAAUCUGCGAUAAGCGUCGGUAAGGUGAUAUGAACCGUUAUAACCGGCGAUUUCCGAAUGGGGAAACCCAGUGUGUUUCGACACACUAUCAUUAACUGAAUCCAUAGGUUAAUGAGGCGAACCGGGGGAACUGAAACAUCUAAGUACCCCGAGGAAAAGAAAUCAACCGAGAUUCCCCCAGUAGCGGCGAGCGAACGGGGAGCAGCCCAGAGCCUGAAUCAGUGUGUGUGUUAGUGGAAGCGUCUGGAAAGGCGUGCGAUACAGGGUGACAGCCCCGUACACAAAAAUGCACAUAUUGUGAGCUCGAUGAGUAGGGCGGGACACGUGGUAUCCUGUCUGAAUAUGGGGGGACCAUCCUCCAAGGCUAAAUACUCCUGACUGACCGAUAGUGAACCAGUACCGUGAGGGAAAGGCGAAAAGAACCCCGGCGAGGGGAGUGAAAAAGAACCUGAAACCGUGUACGUACAAGCAGUGGGAGCACGCUUAGGCGUGUGACUGCGUACCUUUUGUAUAAUGGGUCAGCGACUUAUAUUCUGUAGCAAGGUUAACCGAAUAGGGGAGCCGAAGGGAAACCGAGUCUUAACUGGGCGUUAAGUUGCAGGGUAUAGACCCGAAACCCGGUGAUCUAGCCAUGGGCAGGUUGAAGGUUGGGUAACACUAACUGGAGGACCGAACCGACUAAUGUUGAAAAAUUAGCGGAUGACUUGUGGCUGGGGGUGAAAGGCCAAUCAAACCGGGAGAUAGCUGGUUCUCCCCGAAAGCUAUUUAGGUAGCGCCUCGUGAAUUCAUCUCCGGGGGUAGAGCACUGUUUCGGCAAGGGGGUCAUCCCGACUUACCAACCCGAUGCAAACUGCGAAUACCGGAGAAUGUUAUCACGGGAGACACACGGCGGGUGCUAACGUCCGUCGUGAAGAGGGAAACAACCCAGACCGCCAGCUAAGGUCCCAAAGUCAUGGUUAAGUGGGAAACGAUGUGGGAAGGCCCAGACAGCCAGGAUGUUGGCUUAGAAGCAGCCAUCAUUUAAAGAAAGCGUAAUAGCUCACUGGUCGAGUCGGCCUGCGCGGAAGAUGUAACGGGGCUAAACCAUGCACCGAAGCUGCGGCAGCGACGCUUAUGCGUUGUUGGGUAGGGGAGCGUUCUGUAAGCCUGUGAAGGUGUGCUGUGAGGCAUGCUGGAGGUAUCAGAAGUGCGAAUGCUGACAUAAGUAACGAUAAAGCGGGUGAAAAGCCCGCUCGCCGGAAGACCAAGGGUUCCUGUCCAACGUUAAUCGGGGCAGGGUGAGUCGACCCCUAAGGCGAGGCCGAAAGGCGUAGUCGAUGGGAAACAGGUUAAUAUUCCUGUACUUGGUGUUACUGCGAAGGGGGGACGGAGAAGGCUAUGUUGGCCGGGCGACGGUUGUCCCGGUUUAAGCGUGUAGGCUGGUUUUCCAGGCAAAUCCGGAAAAUCAAGGCUGAGGCGUGAUGACGAGGCACUACGGUGCUGAAGCAACAAAUGCCCUGCUUCCAGGAAAAGCCUCUAAGCAUCAGGUAACAUCAAAUCGUACCCCAAACCGACACAGGUGGUCAGGUAGAGAAUACCAAGGCGCUUGAGAGAACUCGGGUGAAGGAACUAGGCAAAAUGGUGCCGUAACUUCGGGAGAAGGCACGCUGAUAUGUAGGUGAAGUCCCUCGCGGAUGGAGCUGAAAUCAGUCGAAGAUACCAGCUGGCUGCAACUGUUUAUUAAAAACACAGCACUGUGCAAACACGAAAGUGGACGUAUACGGUGUGACGCCUGCCCGGUGCCGGAAGGUUAAUUGAUGGGGUCAGCGCAAGCGAAGCUCUUGAUCGAAGCCCCGGUAAACGGCGGCCGUAACUAUAACGGUCCUAAGGUAGCGAAAUUCCUUGUCGGGUAAGUUCCGACCUGCACGAAUGGCGUAAUGAUGGCCAGGCUGUCUCCACCCGAGACUCAGUGAAAUUGAACUCGCUGUGAAGAUGCAGUGUACCCGCGGCAAGACGGAAAGACCCCGUGAACCUUUACUAUAGCUUGACACUGAACAUUGAGCCUUGAUGUGUAGGAUAGGUGGGAGGCUUUGAAGUGUGGACGCCAGUCUGCAUGGAGCCGACCUUGAAAUACCACCCUUUAAUGUUUGAUGUUCUAACGUUGACCCGUGAUCCGGGUUGCGGACAGUGUCUGGUGGGUAGUUUGACUGGGGCGGUCUCCUCCUAAAGAGUAACGGAGGAGCACGAAGGUUGGCUAAUCCUGGUCGGACAUCAGGAGGUUAGUGCAAUGGCAUAAGCCAGCUUGACUGCGAGCGUGACGGCGCGAGCAGGUGCGAAAGCAGGUCAUAGUGAUCCGGUGGUUCUGAAUGGAAGGGCCAUCGCUCAACGGAUAAAAGGUACUCCGGGGAUAACAGGCUGAUACCGCCCAAGAGUUCAUAUCGACGGCGGUGUUUGGCACCUCGAUGUCGGCUCAUCACAUCCUGGGGCUGAAGUAGGUCCCAAGGGUAUGGCUGUUCGCCAUUUAAAGUGGUACGCGAGCUGGGUUUAGAACGUCGUGAGACAGUUCGGUCCCUAUCUGCCGUGGGCGCUGGAGAAUUGAGGGGGGCUGCUCCUAGUACGAGAGGACCGGAGUGGACGCAUCACUGGUGUUCGGGUUGUCAUGCCAAUGGCACUGCCCGGUAGCUAAAUGCGGAAGAGAUAAGUGCUGAAAGCAUCUAAGCACGAAACUUGCCCCGAGAUGAGUUCUCCCUGACUCCUUGAGAGUCCUGAAGGAACGUUGAAGACGACGACGUUGAUAGGCCGGGUGUGUAAGCGCAGCGAUGCGUUGAGCUAACCGGUACUAAUGAACCGUGAGGCUUAACCUU